rnacentral:lncRNA from 1 species
CCCAAUUGUAGUAAAUACUACCUCAAAAAUUAAUUAACUACUUGACAUUGUUCAAAAACAACGAUUUCCACCUAUCAUCCUCGAAAUCAAAAUUUUCGUCAUAUUCAUUUUCAAACCCGUAAGACAUCAAAUCAUUUUGAUGACCGAAUGUAACAUCAUCGUCGCCACAAGUGAUCUUCAUUAUGAAGAUUCUUCAUCAUAAUUGCCCUAUUCAAAUCUUUGCAUUUUAGGUGUGGUAAUGUUUUCGUUCUGUGAAUGGUCAUUUCUUCAAGAAUCGAGUUUCAAAUCGAUGUGUGCCAUACCAGAACCUUGUUCCUGAAAUGAUAAUUAACAAAGUUAUGGGAAAUAAUAAUAAUAAAUGCAAAGAAUCCUUUUUCGAGUUACAUGUUUGUUUUACACUUUCUGACCCAAUGAAAAUGAAGCCAAAACAACAGUAGAAAACACUUACCAUAUCAUCAUUUAGAAGUCUCAAAGCAUCAUAAUUGAUUCAUGUCGACAUCACAUGUAAAAUACAAUACAAACAUC